rnacentral:rRNA from 1 species
UGGGGAAUUUUGGACAAUGGGCGAAAGCCUGAUCCAGCAAUGCCGCGUGUGUGAAGAAGGCCUUCGGGUUGUAAAGCACUUUUGUCCGGAAAGAAAUGGCUCUGGUUAAUACCUGGGGUCGAUGACGGUACCGGAAGAAUAAGGACCGGCUAACUACGUGCCAGCAGCCGCGGUAAUACGUAGGGUCCAAGCGUUAAUCGGAAUUACUGGGCGUAAAGCGUGCGCAGGCGGUUGUGCAAGACCGAUGUGAAAUCCCCGAGCUUAACUUGGGAAUUGCAUUGGUGACUGCACGGCUAGAGUGUGUCAGAGGGGGGUUAGAAUUCCACGUGUAGCAGUGAAAUGCGUAGAGAUGUGGAGGAAUACCGAUGGCGAAGGCAGCCCCCUGGGAUAACACUGACGCUCAUGCACGAAAGCGUGGGGAGCAAACAGGAUUAGAUACCCUGGUAGUCCACGCCCUAAACGAUGUCAAC